rfam:Streptomyces sp. NRRL F-4428 contig13.1, whole genome shotgun sequence.
GGUGCCGUGGCAGAGCGGUCCAAUGCGAUCGCCGUGGGCGAGGUCCCUCCCACGGCGACUGACGGGGAAGGGGCGGACCUGCCCCCAGCUGUCUCGCGGGUUCAAAUCCCGUCGGCACCG